CUCGUUGUCCGGCGAUACUAUAGUUGUCAGUUUCCCGUACCUCCCGAUCACCGAAUCGCUAUUGGCGUAUAAACAAUUUUACAUUCCCACCUCAUUCUUGAGCGGCUCAGUCAUUCGACUGAUGGCUCGAGGGUGUCGAUCGAGCGUCCGAGAUUCGAGGUUCACGAUCGCCUCUCGAUUUUCGCACGGAGCGAAUAAUGUUUGCGUCGUUGCAAAACCGCUGAAAAUUUUCUUUCACAAUGCCAUGACUUCUUCGAUCGAAACGGUACUGAAAUUCCGAUGGAAAAAUAAUAAUCAACGUUUUUAUGCAAUUCGGGAUAUUUAUAAAAGAAAUUCCGUUUGAACGAAGAAGAACUAAGGGACGAUUCGCCUCCUUCUCAAACUGCCGGAUCGGCCUUGCUGUGACAGACGAACUGUAAACGCACAUGGAAACCAUGAGUGAGAGCAAAGUCGCAGGAAGACAAGUCUGAUCGGAUAAAAAGUGGGAAAUCAUUGGAAAAAAAACAGCAAUAAACGUGCAUCCAGCCGCAGUCCGAUAAAUAUUUAUCUUCAGGAAACUAAACGAGCUCUUCGAACGUACGAAAGAUCAAGGAUUAUUGUGAUUAACACUUUUUCAGUGAAUCGCUGAAAAAGAAUAUCGAAGAUGGAAAAAUGAAGGAGCUCGAGAAACUGCAGAAAAGUUGUUUACGAAAUUUCAUAAUUUUUAUCUCACUUCGAUUAAUAAUAUUGCGGGCUCGACGGGGCGACGCGAUGAGAUAAAGAAAUUUAAAUUAUUCGAAAAUGAAGGAGCUCGAGAAACUGCAGAAAAGUUGUUUACGAAAUUUUAUUUUUAUCUCACUUCGAUUAAUAAUAUUGCAGGCUCGAUGGAACGACGCGAAAAGAUAUCGAGAGAUAGCGUCUCGUACGUAAAACUCAACACCAAAUGUUUCCUGGUAAACGAAAACUCUUCAAUGCUCUACAAAAGCAACACCGAUAAGCCUGCGUGAGUAUUUGUGUUCGAUCACUGGGUAAGAUCAAUCACAACUGCUUCAUACGACUCGGCAGUGGUCGCCGCUGCUUGUACUCGAAACGUUGAUCGCGCGAUGAGACUUUUCCUCACGGGCAUAGAGUCCUGCUGGUGGUUGCCCAAUUCGAUGAAUACAAACUUCAAAAUAUUUUCGUCGCAGUGAUUGUGCUUUGGAAGCAGCGUGGAUGGAUAUGCUCAAGAAACAGCAAAGCAAUAUACUCGUAUCUACGAUUAUCCCUCUAACUCGACGGGUAUCUUACAGCUCAAUUACGCAUUAGGAGGAACAAGGUCCGCCAUCCACAGUUUCACGUGAGUCCAAAACUCGUUUUAUCGUGAUGCAUGCAACAGUUCAGUGGAAUUUUACUUCUCCGGACACUUUUCUACCUCAAUUUCGUACGCGAGAACUGCACAGUGAAAAAAUUCACUUCACAAGGCACGCCAUCGACUCAAAUCUCGAACGUACGCGGUGCACAGCAACGCGCGGAAAUCGACAAAAUCACGGAAAACGAGAAUAUUUAUUGCCUCGACGAAUAGAUAUUCCGAGUUGACAGCAUCGAAAAAUGGACCGAAAAAGUUUAGAGAUGCGUGGCAGAAUGUCAAAUUCACUUUAAAUUUCGUAUUGUAUUUUUGAACUCUUCCCGAAUAUGGAGAAAAAAAAAACGCGCUCCAACGAAGCGAGAUACGGUCGCCGGUAAACGACAGUUCUACGAAUGACAAGCUGAAAAAACGCGUUGACAAUGAGCUCAACGAGUAAAAAUACCAUCUCGAUGCCAGCCUCCAAAAAUGAAAUGGUGCGUUUCCAUCGUUUAUUAAUUAUUUGGUUGUUGAGCUGCGUGAAAGGUGCGAGUUUUUCCAAACGUACAUUUUUUAUAAAGAAUCGACGUAAACACAUCGCUGCUCAAAUCACACCACAAUUAUCCCUGCUCGUUCGCUACUGCAAAUCGAAAUACACACUGCACAAACGAAGCUAAGGUCUUCCUUGUUUCGGUUCAGAGAUCCUUAUGAUUGAUUAUUCACACACCACCUUCGAGUUUCUCUCUAUUUUGAAUGUAAAAUUUCAUCUCGAAGCAAUAAACGAACAGCGAACGAUCUCGUCGCUUCUCGAGAAUUGAUCCGAAAACUGGGAAACUGACGUUGUAUUUCGAUUUUUUCCAUCCAGUUAAGAGGGCAAUAAAAAAGAAAUCCGCACGAAUCCACUUCGUCGGCUUCUCCAAUGAAAUUCUGAGAAUUAUGCAAUAAUAAAAUAGAAAUAAGCGAAUGAUACGAUCGAAAAACCGACUAAUUCGACGUGAGGGAAAUUUCUGCGAGCUCAAAAGAGUCAUUGGAAACGAUCAUUCGAGAAUUUCAUCAACUGUGAUAUAGUUCACUUAUUUUUAUCUGGCAUGAAAUAUCGUUGAACUUGCGAAGCGACAGUUGCGCACACGUGAAAAGUUCCGUAUCGCUUUUAUCAAGAAAAAAAUGCCCGCUGGAUACGACGAGCCGGGAAACUCGGGGUUAUAACUCACCACACCGUUGAAAUGAAGAUCGGCGUAGACGAGCGUCAGAAUCGAGAGUGCUAGCUCCAUUUUUCUCAACCUGAUAAUUCAAGGUCCUGAAUUACACUUUGUUAGGUUCAAUCAGUCGUGACAAGGUCGCUUUGUACAUACGAAUAUAUAUAUAUAUAUAUAUUAAUCACAGCAAUCGAGGGUUAUAGAGACGUUGAAUUCUCGUCGAUGUAGGAGAAAUUUUCGUCAAUUAACUGCCGGCUCUGACGCGCCGACAAUUAACGAAUACGCGAUAAACCAAGAGUCGACGAUCGUACCACUUUUUUAUUGCGUGUUCUUUGUCCGAUCGAGUUUCCAAUGCUCUCGGGAUUCCGACGACGUUUCUUACUCUUCAAAAUCUAAACAGCACAUUUAUUUAACUUGCGCAAACGUUCGGGAAAGCUUAAAAUUUUUCAUCGAGUAAAAAAACACGAAAAUCUACGUACCGAGUGAGAAAAAUCAUUCAAAGUCUCACCGAAGUUUGGUUAGAAACUGAUCACUUACACUUUUGUAGUAUUUCAAUCCAAUAAAAACAAAAUCUUUCGUAUGUACGAAUAGCGAAAA